rnacentral:lncRNA from 1 species
AAGCAAAAUAUUGAUGUACAAGUCAGAUGAUAAACUUGAGUAUUGAACUGGUAGAUACCCUUUGAAGAAAGCCUUCUUCACAUCCAUCUGGUGAAGCUUUAAGUAAAAAUGAGCCACCAAAGCUUAUAUUAUCCUGGGUGAGUCCUUCUUAGAAAGCGGAAAGAAAGUCUCAGUGUAGUCGAUGUCCUCUUUCAGAGUGAACCCCUUGGCAACAAGCCUAGCCUUGUCUCUUUCAAUCUUUUGAUGUAGCCAUAAAAUGUACAAAGGGUUGUGUAUGAAACUUAUCCAUCGGGAUAUUCAGCUGGUACUUAUCAUAUAGCUUCAAGGACUGUGGGCUCAAGAAACUUUAUAAGGCGAAGGAAGAGAAGAGAUGUUGCGCACAAACUCUUAUGGUAGAAAGUUAAAAAACCUUUUCCUUCUUUUUCUUAAAUCGUAUGCAUGGUUGAACCUAAAAAUAUAGCAAUUACAUACAACCAAGAAUGGUUUUGUACUUUCACUAACCCGAAGGUCUAGUAAGGUUAUUAGGUACCAACCUAUUAACAGGUGAAAGGCCGAAAGAACUAUAUUUUAUCGGUUGUAUCUUCUUUUAGUUAAAAAGGAGCUGCUCAUUCAUGUUAGUGUAGAUGCCAGAUAAAAGAGAUCAGAAAUUUAAAGAUUUGUUUCCCUUAAGGCUAUCUAAGAGGCCUUUCUUCGUGGUUGGAUUCCUUCUUACGAGUUGGAUUCGAACAAACACCUCUUGCAUUCAGUGAACUACCAUAUUAUUCAAGUCGUGAUUUUGGUGCCCGUUUUGUCAAAAACUAUAAAGGCUACAUCCGGGGGGAAGAGGUUUUUUUCUCCCAAAGUCCAUUGGGCCGACUAGAAAGAUAUUCAUUUUGAAGAUAGCCUGUUCGGAUCGGUUACUGACUCAGUCUCUCUUCCUUCCUCAUAUGCCUUCAGUGACUCUGUCUUUACCGCAUAAGAAAGAAAUGACUGAGAUCUGUCUUCUGUUUGUUUGCGAUUGAAAGACCCCCAAGAUUUGAUUGCUUAUUCUUUUCUUUUCUCUAGGCAAAAGUCUCUGAUAAAAAAAAGAAGGCAGCUUUUAAGAUAGAGUCUUGAUGGUUAUGAUGGCAAGUGGGGAAGAGAUCAAUGCGCUUUUAGCAGCUAAGAGAAAUCAAUCUCUUCUUGUGCUGGCACCUUGGAUUAAAUCCUUGUUCUUUAUUUGUUUCAGUUUCUUUGCGGCUUUGCUUAGAGAUGAAAGACGGAGUUCUUCCGUCAUGGCUUUCGAUGAUUGAUAGUUCAAGCGUAUCAUAGAUCAAACUCUUUCAAGCCUUUGAAGUCAAGCUUGUUGUAAGGCUAAAGGACCUCUUUCUUGAGGUGCACACCCACUUAGGAAGAUAUGCAAAGGCCUUUCUGAAUUUGCCGAUCAGAUAGAAUUUUAUGUUGAUUACACACCUAAGGUGGAUAGUCGGUCAUCACUAGGUGCUCAUCUGAUGGGGAUUCCAUAAGGAUGCUGUAUACUCGACCGGAAGAGUGGUUUUCUCUAGACCCCCCGGGCAGAUACUGAAGUUAGAACAAAUGUCUUUUCAAUUACAGCCAGGACAUGCUUCGCUGCUAUCGCCUUCUCUUCCUUCGCGUUCUAGCCCUUCAAAGAAUCAGCCCAUCUGUGGGGCAAGAAAUUGAUGUCGGAUGAUAGUCCGCCUCUUUCUUGUAGCUCGGAUAAGCGGUGGUUGGGCACGAAGUGAGAGUAGUAGGCUUGGGAUGAAUGAAUUAAUUUCAUAACUAAGGCUAUAAAAACUAGCAAGAAUAGUAAAGUAAGGUUAACUUAAAUACAUGCAUACAUGAUUUGAAUAGCUCCCAAAGAUACAAGGACUGCUUUGGUUAGGAAGAAAGAUUGAAACUUGAGCUGCUGCUGAUGGAUCCUUUGAAGCUUGAGCUGAGACUUCUUGUUCCUAUACUUUCAUUGCUGCUACAUGAACUGCAGCUGGUACCGUAUAGUUGAAGAUCACAGGAAUUCCUAAGUCAAGCUGGAAAAAAAAUGAUACCUUGUUACCAGGUAUCAUUCAACUUCAUUACGAGCUGAGUCUUAUGCCGCUAACUCUUUUUCUUACCUUUUAUUUUAGGUUGGAAUUUCAACUACCGUGGUCACCUAUUCAAAAUCUUGAUAUUGCUCCAUUGCUUGGUGGUUCAAGGUCGACUGCAACGUGGAAGGCAGGGGAACAUUGAUUGAUCAGAAUCGGUUAGUGCAGAGGUUGGCAAUAAUCUAUUCACUUAUUUCUUUUCCUUUUUUUAUAUUUUCUAAAUAAAAUAAGAAGACAAGGCUGCUCGUAGAUAUUUGACAUCUGUGUUGUAAACUCUUAACUUUUUUAGCUUAGAAGCUAGGGAACUUGGAUUGUACUCGAAAUUGUCUAGCAGGAGUCAACCGGGAGCGGUAGCGGCUGUAGAGGAGAGGUGCAGAGCCACGAGACUGAUAAGGAUAGUUCAAUUGCGCGGUAGCAGUGAGACCCUAGGGAGAGAAAAUACUGAAUUAAGUCAGAAGGUAGUUGAUCGACGAGUUUCAUGAUCACCAGCAUAGUCUGCACGCAAUAACAAACUAUCAACCACAGUUCUCCUUUCUUGUAUAGGAGACCAUAGUCAAGUUUUCCUUUCAUGUAACUCAAUAUUCGUGGCAUGGAACUGCUUCCAAGUGAGGUUUCUUUGGAUUCUGCAUAAAUCGACUAACCACUCCAACUACAUAUGCGAUGUCGGGCCUUGUAAACGUUACAUAAAUCAAACACCCAACUAAUUGUCUAUACUAUAUAUAGUGGUAUCUUCCAAAUCUUUUCCUUCUGCUGCACACAAUUUAGCAUGCUCCUCCAUUAGGGUUGAGAUAGGCUUGCACUCCUACAUCCCAUACUUUUGUAUGAAGUCUUUCACAUACUUUUGCUGGCACAAGAACAGGCCUUCCUUCGUGCGAUCCACCUCAAGGCUGAGAAAAUGCUUAAGUUCUCCAAGCGGAAGCGGACUGCUAAAUUUUGUUUUGUUUGACGGAUUUCUUCUACGUAGUCUCCUGGAGCCACUAAAUAUCCACUUUGUACUAGAAACUCUGCUAUCUUGCUAUACCAUGCUCUUGGUGCUUGCUUUAACCUAUAAAGAGCUUUUCUUAACUUACAGACGUAGUCAGGGUGAGCUUUACCCUCAAACCCUUGUGGCUGCUCCAUGUAUAUUUCUCGAUGCAAUUAUCCACGUAAGAAGGCGUUCUUCACAUCUAUCUUCCAAAGCUUCCAAGACUUGCUAGCUACAAGUGCGAGCAAGACACGUACGGUGGUAAUCUUUGCCACUAUCAUAGUUUAUAUCCUUAUAUCAUGAAUACUGGUAUAUUCUCUUCUGGUCAAGGAGUCUGGCAUAAUAAGUUGACUGGGGAUUUAUAGAAUAUGUUUGGUAUUAUUGAGUCUUUUGUAUUUUGUCCGAAUAAUAUAAAUAUACCAUUAUUACCCUAUAAAGAUGAGUGAAAUGAAUUAUUGUCUUUCCCAAGAGGUAGAUUCAUAGGUGUCUAUUUCACUGAAGAAUUGAUAAAAGCAUGUUCAGUCGGUUACAUGGUAUACCCUAUAAGGGGAUAUUUAUAUGAGAAAGGGGAGAGGACAAAAAUGUCAGUUGUUCACUGCCUAUGAAGUAUGGGGAGUGUGAUACAAAUGCACUUUUCCACCCAGUGCUCUUUUCCUUUGGCAUCUCUGUUUCAGUGAAUGAUUCGCCGCAACAACUAUUGGUAAUUGGCUUUCUGUUUGUUCUAUAAAAGAAUGAAAGUGGGGUAAGACAACCGUCUUUAAAAGCCCAUGAAAACAACGUCUGGAUCAAUAUCUGUUCAUUCCAAGGAAGCCCUUGAAGUAGAGUUCUUACUGAUGAGUUUACUUACUGAUAUGGGAACUUCUCUCUAUAUAGAUAGGUCUUUCUUUCUAUUGAGGAGGUCGAGUCGAAGGAAUAUAGUUUUUUGCAAUAAAGCUAAUACCACUUCUAGCCCCAUCAGAGCUAGCAGCUCAAACAUUCGAUCAAGUUUUACUUGCCCCACAUGCAUUCUAUCCUUUCCAUCAUCACCUUUUGUCCAUAACACUAGCAUUCACCUUUCUUCUGCCUCUGAGGCUUCCAAGCGCAGUUCUUUAUUUAGGUACCCACUACCUACUUUUUUUUUGAUCUUACACCCAUGGCUGGGUACACGUAACAUCAAGCCAAUAUCAAUGAAAGAGCAUAACCUACUUCGAUUCCUUACGUGCGAUAAGGGGGACUUUCUUUCUAUAGAAAAAGCACUUUCAAUUCGCAACCAUUUAUAAUAAUAUUCUUGAAUGAUUUUCUAGGCCCUGGGGAAGGGGAUCUGUUCUCCCCCACAUGAGGAGGAUGAGAGGGGCUUACAACAAGACUAGUGAUUAGAAGACCAGGGAUGGUUACCUCUCUGAGGGAGGAAUCCCAUCAGCAAGAAUGGAAAGAUCAAAUCCCAAAUCCUAUUAUAAGCGCGGAAAUCCCAACAAAAGGUUAGGUCUUGGGUCGGGUAUCUAUAAAAAAAUAAGAAGACUCUUUUCAUGUAACUUUGCUUGUGAAUCUGCCUCUAUAUAGAGCAAGCAUCUGUUACGUACGAAGAGAAGCUCUCUUUAAGAGCCUUUGUGACGGGCUUGCCUUUGUCACAGGAUCGGAUCAAAGGGAACAUUCACUACGAAAGCAUUAAUCAAAACAUAAAAAUACAUAUCAUGAAAAUGGGCAUUUCCUAUUUUUAUGAUAUGAUGCAUUGAUGGAAUAGUUUGGCCGCCUAGUAGACUCGAUCCGGUUCCACUUUCGAUGAUAACCCUACUAAGAAAAAACAAAAAAAACUCGAAUGAAUGGAAUAUUUUGGUUACGAUGAGAUGUGGUGCCCUCACUCUUCCUUUCCUCCAUGUAGAAGUUGAUCAUUAUAUAAGUUCGAGUAAACGAACUCGAUAAAAGGAGUCCCAUCAAAACAAGAAAAAAAGGGGGGGAAAAUUCUCAUCAUGCAACUGUAGAAGUUGAUCCUACUGAUGGAAAAGCUUUCAAUAAGGUACUCAUGGUUGGAUAUGCACCAAUUCAAACCUUCUCGAUUUCAGCAGGUUUUUUAUCAUGGAGAGCAAGAAUCCGGUGAAGUCUUGCAGUGAAUGGGCUGCCUUAGCUCACCCCCAUUUUCUGUAAUUCUUUCCUCAGAGCCCAGGGGAUUUCCAAACUAUAGAUAGGAUCACCGCGUAGGUAGGCCUACCUUCUUUUCUUUCUCAUUUGCAUGAGCAUCUUUUUCUUUUCGGACAACCAGGUAAUGUUGUCGUACCCGAAACCCUAGCCUUAUUUUAUAAUAGUAUGCGUAGAAAGCCUUCUUUCUUUUGAAAGCAGGUAAUCCCAUUUUAAUCCCCAAUACUCGAGUUUGAAGGCAAGGAAGCAAGAUGACCCCAGGCAAUUGAGAAGCGAGCAAUCCUAUAGUGAUGUUAUGCUCUUCCUUUGGGGACUAGGAUAAAUGCGUAUAAUAAUAGAUGCAUUGCCUGAUCGUAUAUGCAGGCGAUACGGGGCUUAUUUAACAGAGAAUUGCCCUAGGCUUACCUUACUCAAUGGGCUUAUUAUACCCCUAACCUUAUCUUUUGAUAGCUUAAGCAUUGAAGGAAGUUACCCGUAUUCGAUAGGGAUCAAGUAUGGUUGUUGAUAGUACCUGGCUAACCACUUCCCCAUCCUCCAAUAAAAGGUUUCUAGCAUAGGUUGUUCCUAGGUUCAAUACUAGAUAUGCGUUGAGGUGAUAAACAAAGGAAGGCCAGCUCAUGUGCUAUUGCCCGGUGCCGAUCCUAGAGAAGAAGAUGCUAGUAAGCGUAGUUUCAGGCGUAGGGUAGGGAAUUUGAUGACUUUUAGGGUAACCCAAGCCUCUAAAUCUCCAAAAGCUGAGAUUCAUUCCUUUAGUUAGAGAGCUGAAUGGAAGGAAAGUCUUAGAUCUAUGUAGUUUAUGACUUGGAAAAAAAGGGAAACAAAGUGCCCAAGAGAUGACGCUUCUUGGAGGACAGGUAGUUAACUAAUUUAUCUUAUUAAAGAGAAGGAUAUAGUUUAACAACCUAUUCUCAAACAACUUAUUCUAGCAGCCUAUUCAUUCAAAGAGCUAGCAAUCACUUUCUUCCCACCCGGAAAUCGUAGUAAAAAAUAUUCAUAUAUUCACCAGGCAUGGGAUAAAGGAAAAGAGAGAGCCGAGAGCCGGGAACGCAAUAAAAAGAAUUUCUCUCAAGCGAGAAUCUUCUUCUUUAGCAAAUUCAACUUCUUUCCCCCAGAGCAGCAAGACCAAACCGGUUUAUUCAUCUGCAUUGAAAAAAAGCUAAGCCCGAAAGUCACGGAGCUCUCUUUUCUACGUAUACAUAAUAUAUAUAUAAUAUACAUUAGGUUAUUGGUUUCGGUUUGUUCAAAAUCUCUAUCAUCAAAUAGCAUAUCUAAGGGCUCAAAUGAUGUUCUCUUGUCCCUCGAGAAAGCGAUUUCACUCGUUUCCUCUUUCGGUUGGGGUUGGUUACUCUUCAUCUCUUGGUAAUUUCCUUAUCACGCAUAUCAUACAAUCUCAGAGGUAGUAGAAAGUAAGUCAAGUCCAAUCUCCUCAGCAUCUGUGGAUUGGCCUUAGUGGUAAGAGAAGGAUCAAACUCUAUCAAAAAUUCGAUGCAGCUUUCUUGGCUGAAACUGAACAGGAUAGGUGGGCGCUUAGAUGAUAGAGUAUGCCUACAAAGAACAUUUCUUGUCUAAUAUCUACAGCUCGUUGAUCUCUUUUGCCUAUUUUGGCUAACCCCAUUCCAGUCUAUUAGGCAAGGUCUAUUCGAUUGAGCUUCUAUUAAUCAUCUUAGACAGCUGAACUCUUUUGCUUUGGAUAGAUCUAAACAGUAAAGUACUCAUUCCAGGCAUGACUUGGAAGAUGAAGAGGGGGCAGACUUUGAGUGUCAAGGAGGAAGUAGCAGAAUUACUCUCUAUCAAGCUGAAUUACAUCCACCCUCAUCCAGUCUCUUAAGUAUAGCAUAUGCCUUUACGAAUGAAUACUAGCUCCGAAACGGCAACUAUAAGGAAAGGACUACCAGAAGUUUUCUUUCCCCUCUCCAUCAUUAGACUGACUCUUCUUCAUUCAGCCCGGUUGAAGAAAUCAGACCAAGAUAGGUAGAGUCCAACAAGAAAAGAAAGGGCGCUUUCGCGCUAGCAAGCUCAGUCCAUCCUCUCUCUUCAUCGAACCUAAAGAAAGAAGGUUGAAGAGUGGAACUCCGCAUUUUUAUCAAGCUUGCAUCACUCAAGGGUCGACUAGACUUGAAUUCAGCUUUGAAAGGAAAUUGACCAUAUCAUGACUCCUCUAAGGAUAAGGAAGGUGUAUACUUAAAGAAAGGUAUUAAUCUAAGGUAGAAGAAAAAAGUGGAAUAUUCAAGCAUAAAGAUAGGGAAAAAAGAGUAAAGAACAAGCAAUGAAGUUUCUUCUUUCGUCGAAGCAGCUUUCCUUAGCUACUCCUUUGAUUUCCGGCAUAGUCAGAGUAAGGUCUUCCUUCCCUGCUUACCUAAAAGAAAUUAUUGAAACUCUACUUCAUUCCUAAGGAAAGACGAGAAUCCGCUCUUUGAAAAUCUUCCUCGGGAAAAGUCCACGCCCAGUGGAGUCUUCCGCUGGAACUAGAUUCCAACUUCGCAUAAGCGGUCUUAGCUUUGACUUGGCAGUAGGAAGACGAUGUGGGGUUUAGUCCUUUAGCCCAGGUGAAAGUUUAAUUAGGCAAAGAACCAGCACACGCCUAUUCAUCCGAAAUAAUGGUUGGAACUCCUUAUCAAUUACCUCUCCCGCCGCAGCGCAAGGAAGAGUAAACGAUGAAUGGCAAGUCAGAGUGAAAGGUAGAGACUUCAGUUGCUACCGUACUUGACUGAGAACUUGAUAGAGUGGUUGUUUUCCUCUUCCGGGAGUGUUUUUACUUUCAACCGGCCCUUGGGAUUAUCAUAUAAAAGUUCUAUUCCUGCCUACGCCUUUUUUCCAAUCUCUGAACUUCAGGAAUGCUUUACCUAAACUGAUUCAAAAAGGCAUGCAAAAAGAGUUUCUUAGUGCUUCACUACCUGAAAGAAACCCGAUCCAUGGAACCAUCUUUUCUUUUCAAAGAAAGAGCUAGAACUACCUGACCGAAGGAGAUAGACAGGAAGGGAGGUGGUGAUUAGGAUAACCCAAUUAUAGUUGUAGAAGUAGAAGCUAUAGGUGAAGUGUUUUGAGUAGUCAGUGUCAUAACUAUAAGAUAGGUAAGCUUAUCCAGAGAUAGAUCUCAAGGAAGAAUUCCUAGGUGAGAAGUGAUUGAAGCAUCAGUGAAAUGAAUCUAUUCUCCAAAGCACCAAGACAUUAGACCAUACAAGGCUCUCUUGCACAGGAAUAGCGCCAGAUAAGAAAGAUCAGAUUAGCUAUGGCCUUAGGUAAAUCAGUCACAAUUCAUAAUUCCCCAUUACUGCUAAAAAAAACAAGGAGUUGGCAGGAAGAACUAGCAGCUAACCGAUAAGAAUAAAGCACUAGAAAUUUCCAGACUCUUGGAUGAAAUUAUUAUACUUGUAUUUAUUGCCUGUAAACUAUUCCCUCAGCUGGCUUGACAUUGAGAAGAGAAUUGCAAAUAUCUUUAUUGGUUUUAGGAAAUUGAGUCCAGUCGUUCGCAUAAGGAAGGAAAAGAAAAGGAGGGUCUCACACCGGUGUAAAGUAAAAGAAAUUUCCUUAGACUCAGAGAUUUCAUUUGCUGGCCUUUAACUGGCUUUACAAAAUAGGCUUUUAUCAUAGCCUUGAUCACAGGAUGGGAAAAGUACCGGCCUAGACCCCAAAAAAGAGACCACCAUCAGGAUCGGUACUGCUACUAAAUUACCCUCUGUAAAGUAAACACUUUCAAACUAGCCAGCUGGAUCUCAAACUGGAGAAAGAGAACUCCCCAUGUCUGGAAACUCACAAUCGAUAGAGGGGCUAGCCACAGAAAGUCCAGAAGUCGCUUGAUUCUCUUCUUAGGAAAAUACAUCUUCCUUUCCUAAUCUAAUGGAUUCCCCUUUUACUGCAACUGCAACAAAAGGGGCUAGGGAUUAGCUGAGCUCGAAGGCAUAUGGAAUGGCACUUUCUUUUUCUGAACUAGCUAAAACAGAAAUCACUUGCUCAACGGCUGACAAAAGGGCUUACCCUACGACUGCUAGCUUUUACUUGCUUGAAGGAGAUUUAAAAGGCUUCCUUCCUUGGGGAAAGACUCCUAUUACCGUGUACUACUAAUACAACUACGGGGAAUGAAGACACCACAUACGACAUAGAGAAAAUAAAGCAGAAUAGCGGGAUGAGGUGAGGAAAAGAUCUAUAUACUCUGAUUUCAGGAGGAGAAUUCAGUAUAGUAGGUCCUCCUAUGCAUAUUCUACACGGAGGGAAAAACACCACACCACAUGUAGGGACAAUACCAAGCACUUUGUUACUUGUUCGCAAAGGAAUAGAAGGGAAAAAGUCUUUGAUUAUGACUGGCGAGAUAUAAAUAGAAAGACUGGAACUCUAGAUCCUCUAACGCUGAUUAAAAUGAGAAUCAUAAGCUAUUGAUUACACCACAGCAGGAUUUUGCCUUGGAUAGGCCCCUAGACUGUGAGCUUAGCCAGUAAAUAUGUCCUAGGUAAAGAGGGUAAAACCUAGAAAAGAAAAGAACCAGAAUCACGUCCAACAAUCUAUGAGGGAAAAUCAAUGAUGAAGCAGCAGGAAGAGUCGUUUGAUGACAUGAGGUUCCUAUAUACCAUCAUCUCGAAUCCAAAGGCAUAAGAAUAGGUAGGCAUCUUUUUGACAAUCUAUAUGAAGAUCUAAAGGUGAACCAAUAGACAGAGAGAGAUACUCUUCCUGCGGGCCAAGAAUGUCUUUGUUCAAAGAGCUAGCAAUGACUUUCUUUCCACCCAGAGUGGAAUUCAGGGAUAGGACUUUGCCUGCUAUCUUGAUUGCUGCUACUUUGAUUUAUAUUCUUUUUCCUAAUCCUAUCGAACCAGACACUGAAUACCUAGUCCGGGUAAAAGGAUUUUUUCUAUUAAAAGCAGAGAAAGAGUUUAUGACUACCUCUUCCUAUCGCACCAAUUGAAAAAGUGAAACCAUGACAAGCAAGACACGAAUAGAGUUGUCUUUCACAACAGGAGAGAAUACUUCAUUAAAGUCCAUACCCUCUCUCUGACUAUAGCCCUUUGCAACCAAGCAUGCGAGGAAUUUUGGAUUCAGAGGCUAUGCUCCUACUUAUUUUACUCUGAAGACUCAAAGUAUUUACUACUUUGCUCUGCACUUUCUCAAAAAACAUUAUUUUAUAGCUAUAUGGAGAUACCGAAUUGCAUUAUGAAGUAGCCUUCCAUUAAGGAAAAUGCCUUGAUACCCAAAUUACUGGGGUAUCUACCCAUUUUGCAUUUUGACUUUCAAUCUUGGGCAGAAAUGGCUUCACGUACUUUAGCCCCAAGUGGAGUAUAAAAGAAUGAAUGUUGUGAUGAAUGCUCAGGCUAAAGGAUAUGAAUCGUGAAAGCAUUAGGCAGAAUCUUCUUUUUGUGUGGAGAUUCAGGGUGGAAUUAAGAGUCUUUCUAAUGCCUAAAAAGGGAUGAAUGCACCAAAAGAGGACUAAGAGCUAAAUUCCAGAGACAGCUUAAGGGGAUUCUAAACCUUUUUUUGUUCCGGGUCGUCAGGGUUAAGACUCGGUGACGAAGUGUAGAAUGUGGGUAGAAUAUGGGUUUUUAGGGGAUUCAGGUUAUAGUUACAGUUUACCUCUCCCUUUGACUGUCCCGUGUAGGUUAUACUUUUUGGAGAGAGAAGAUUCUUUUUAUUAGAAAGGGGUUAAGCACCAGUCGUUAGAAGUGGAAACCAGUGGUUUAAGACUAGGGGAAAGAGCUUCAUUAGGAAUGAUUGGAGAUAGGGGUAACUGAUUCAUAGAAGAAGCUACUGGUUUAGCAGGAACGGCUACAAGAACUUUUGCAGUAGCAGCAGAUAGAGCUUCAGCAGGUACAGGAGCUGCUACAGUUGCUGAUGUGCUAGGAAAAAAUUCGAAUGUGUUAAACAUAUGCUUUUUUCCACUUAAGAGUAGGGGGGUUCGAAAGAUUGAAUCAUUAAUCUCUAUCUCUUCCCGUUACUCAAUUACAUCUAUAUCGACCCAAAGAGUAUGGAGUUUGGGCACGGCCUCAGCGAAUAGAAGAGAGGUUUCUCUCCCAAAACAAAAGGUUCAAGUGGAACAAGGCUUAACAGUGCCCGAAAGAGGUGGUUGGGUCGAUCAAGCCCUAGAGUAGGAGUAGGAGCGGGUUUGGAGUAAAGAUGGAAAGAAAGGGUUCUUACCCACCAGCCGCGGUAAGAGGACUUUCUUCACCAGCAGUGAGAAUACUUAAGAAUAAGGGGUUUGGGCUCACCGAGAUGAGAAAAGCAUAUACAUACCAGAGUCAGGGUCAGAGACUAGCUUUCUCUUUCUAUUCCCAUCUAAGAGAGGGUAGUCUAUCCUGGCUUAUCCCCUUAGGAGGGAAAUUUCUAUCAAAGACAGUUGAGCUGUAUUCAUAAGGGACUAAAACUUUGUAGUUCCUCUGAGGUGUCUGAUGAUAUUAAAUAGAUUGUUGAAAAUCUGAGGGAGCCUAAAUAGGAGCUUUCUAUUGCAGCUAUUGCGGUAGAGCAGGAGGGAUAAGCAGCAGGUUGAAGCUGCAAUAGAGUUUGCGAGAUAAGAAGAGGUGUGGGGGUGCUUUGCUUGAGUUGGGAAGAGUAAGAUUCAGAUUCAAAAAACUUCCAGAAAGACUUGUAUUCCCUUACUGAACGGAAGUACCGAUUCCCGCAAUAACGAAAAUAAGUAGCUGAAGCGAGUUUUCAAGAAACUGCUCAAGUUUUAGCAAAAGUGGCUCUCUGGGACUAGGUGAGGAAACGUCUAUUGGAGAUUAGAGUGCCUCCAGGGGUUUGACAUCUCGGAUGAAGAAUUACUUGAGUUACAGAAGAAGAUUGAAGAUAUAGCUAGUCAAUUUGAUGAAUGUAAUAUAUUUAAUGAAAUUCCUAACUUAAUCAAACUAUUGAUAAGAAAGGAUCUUAUAAACGCUAAAUCUUAUUUAUAUAAAUAUCUUCCUCGAUGAUAUUUAGAAUAGUACUAUUAAUUAGUUCAGUCAAUAUACGCUGGAGGCUAUCAUAAUAUAUGUCUUAGGGUUGUUGUACAACUGUACUCAAGACACCUCAGUUGUGAAGGUAUCUACAUUGUUGGACAAGUUAGAAGCACAGUUCGAAUACAGGCCAAUAUAAUCAAUAAGAAAAAUAUGGUUAGUAGUAUAGCAACAAGUAGUCGAGUUGAUAUCAAAGGUCAUAAAUAUCAAAUUGGUAAAGGAUUGGUGGAGUUCAUGCUUGAAAAAAAGUUGAUCAAAAUUGAGACACUUUCAGCAGACGAUAAUAAAGCAGUAGUAAAAAAAAAAGGAAAGGGUUAUUCUAAAAUGAAUUUAUUCGCUGUAUGUGGUUUUGACAACAAUCUUAUCCCUUUGAAACUCAAUCUUCCAAUGGUUUGCAAGCCUUUAAAGCUGACCAAAAUACGUUAUACCUAAUGAACUAGGGUAGCUGUGGGACUCGACCUCUUGGACUAGUAUCGAUGGUGGCUCCUCGGAUGAGUCUUUGUUUAGUUAGGAGUAGGUUCUUGCAACCUUAACGCACUAACAAAAAAUCGCUUCCAGUUUGCAGCUAAUAAAAGUUUGUCCUUUCAUUAAGGCAUCGGGGUGAUCCACUUCGGGACAACCUCGGCCACAUGGGCACUGGUAGUGAAUUGAUCAUGGUAAUAAGUUCAGAUCGAGGAAAAUUCAAAAAUUCAUACUUGAAUCCCACUAGCUCACCGAAAACUUGGCCUUUCAUCCCUGUUUUUCUAAUCGGACUCAGAGGGAGGUGAAUUCGCUAAUUUUGACUUUUUAGUCGGAUUCUCUAAGGCUUGAAAUAGAGUGAUUAUAUUGAUUUCUUUCCUUAUGUGGUUUUGCCUUUCAUAGUCUCUCAUUCAAUUCAUCCCUACUAGGAAAAAGAGUUUCGUACCCAUCUAAUCGAAGAAGGUGCAUUUCCUUCAACCUUUAUGCCUUUCAACUUGAACAGAUUUUCCACAGCAAGGAAUUCUUUUUUUUGUUGGGAGGGUGGAUCCUAUAAGAAAACUUGCCCCUUUUGGUCAGAAUGCCUAUCAGUCUUGAUGGUCUCGUAGUACACGCCUUUUUUUAUCAGCCUUCAAAUACUUUUGGGUUUCCCUUAGCUUUUAGGUGGAUUCAAUAUCUCCCUCCUAAAAAAGAGAAAUAGUCAAGUGAAAGAAGCCCACUCCGGAGUCAUUCACAGGAGAAGCACUGACCUUUUCUCUUUUCUCUAUCGACUUCGAUAAGACUAAUAAGUCAGGGCGAGCUCUUACUUAGAGAGAGUUAGUUGGGUAGGGUCAAUAGCUCUAAGAUCACAUCAGAUUCUAACCCUAAGGUGACUUCACUCUCUUUAGAGAUGAUUAAAGACUAACAAAGGUAGGGCAGGAGAGAGGGAAACAAAGCAAGAAGUUAUCUUCGCAUCAUAGCGAGUUAAGAACUUAGGCUUAGUGAAUCCCCACUCAAAUUUCAUAUGUAAUGUAAGGAAAUCCUCUCUAUUAAAAGAGGAUCUUUCUAAAUGACUUUCUGAAGUAAAGACUAGAAAACGAAAGAGAGAGAAGACAGUCAGUCCAGCUAGAAACUGAAUUUCAUGCUUUCAAGCUUAAUGCAUUCAUUCUCUCUAGGGUCGUUGAACUAGUUGAAUGGAAUUCCUUCCCACGCAUACAACAUGCCAAAGCUCAAAGUCGUUUGAUCCCUUUACCAAUCAUAGAAGAUGACUUAUUCUAUCUCCUUGCUAUCUCCAUUGGUUGAACGGGGGGUAUCAGAAGAUCUCUGCUUACCUUAGCCUUACAUAGAGGAGCUACAUAACUUUCAUUAGCUCCUAGUGCAGCAUAUCUAAUUCACUAUAGGGUUAAGAGUGACUUGCUUAGACUGCUGAAUAACCGUCACUUUAGCGAGCUGUAGGACAAACUACAUUCAAAAGGAGAAAGGAAACUUUGAAUAUCAGUGCCCAUAGCAGUCCUGGAGUUGGGUUAUGAUGGUCGUGAUGAGCUCUACUAGAAAGAAAAUCUCUUCUAUUCAUAGAUGAAGUCCUAUCUAAGGGCCUUCGUUGCCCUUGAAUUCCGUUCCCUAGUUCAACCCGGAAAGUAGCGGCCAAACGGCUCUGUCCUUUUCAAAGAGGUUAUCCUUCUCUCUCCCCAUUUUUUAGUCUUAUAGGAUAGCUCACCAUUCAAGUAAGUCACUUUAGCCGACGCUUACUGUAUUCUUUCUAGCCUAAUUAGUAGCAGUCCCUUUUUAGUACCCCCUUUCCAACCAGUCAAGUGGCUUUCACUCCUUGACAGUCAGUCUAUUACCCAGCCCUGAUCCCAUGCUUUCCGUUGGUCAACAACCAACUAAAGUGCUCUAUACUUCUUCACUACUCGUACAGGCUUGACAGAGUUAAGCUGUAUUGAGGGAAUCAUUUUGUCUCAAUCAAUCAAGAAUGCCUCAACUAGAUAAAUUCACUUAU